ACGCUCGACACCUACGGGAGGCAGCAGUGGGGAAUAUUGCACAAUGGGGGAAACCCUGAUGCAGCGACGCCGCGUGAAGGAAGAAGUAUUUCGGUAUGUAAACUUCUAUCAGCAGGGAAGAAAAUGACGGUACCUGACUAAGAAGCCCCGGCUAACUACGUGCCAGCAGCUGCGGUAAUCUGAGCGGGCUGGCAAGGC
rnacentral:rRNA from 1 species